CCUACGGGAGGCAGCAGUAGGGAAUAUUGCUCAAUGGGGGAAACCCUGAAGCAGCAACGUCGCGUGGAGGAUGAAGGUUCUCUGAUUGUAAACUCCUUUUUUUAGAGAAGAUAAUCACGGUAUCUAACGAAUACUCCACGGCUAAUUCCGUUCCAGCAGCCGCGGUACCACGGCGGCUGCAAGCGUUACUCGGAAUCACUGGGCGUAAAGCGGGCGUAGGCGGGAUAGCAAGUCAGAUGUGAAAUCCUAUGGCUUAACCAUAGAACUGCAUUUGAAACUGUUAGUCUAGAGUACGGGAGAGGUAGGUGGAAUUCGUGGUGUAGGGGUAAAAUGCGUAGAGAUCAAGAGGAACACUGAUUGCGAAGGCAACCUGCUAGAACGUAACUGACGCUGAUGCGCGAAAGCGUGGGGAGCAAACAGGAUUAGAUACCCCGGUAGUC
rnacentral:rRNA from 1 species